rnacentral:rRNA from 1 species
CAAAACGACUCUCGGCAACGGAUAUCUCGGCUCUCGCAUCGAUGAAGAAGCGUAGCGAAAUGCGAUACUUGGUGUGAAUUGCAGAAUCCCGUGAACCAUCGAGUCUUUGCACGCAAGUUGCGCCCGAACCAUUAGGCCGAGGGCACGUCUGCCUGGGCGUCA